UACGGAGGAUCCAAGCGUUAUCCGGAUUUAUUGGGCUUAAAGGGUGCGUAGGCGGCUUAUUAAGUCAGGGGUGAAAGACGGUGGCUCAACCAUCGCAGUGCCCUUGAUACUGAUGAGCUUGAAUACACUUGAGGUAGGCGGAAUGUGACAAGUAGCGGUGAAAUGCAUAGAUAUGUCACAGAACACCAAUUGCGAAGGCAGCUUACUAAGGUGCAAUUGACGCUGAGGCACGAAAGCGUGGGGAGCAAACAGG
rnacentral:rRNA from 1 species